rfam:Rhodobacteraceae bacterium HLTCCA08 ITZX_scaf_547, whole genome shotgun sequence.
GGGUCGAGGGUCGCGCUUGGGUCGCGCGACGAGAAUGGACCCCGGACAGUGCCGUCUCGUAUGGUCGCCCGUGCAGCCACCCAACUGCACCGGCA